UACGUAGGGGCUAGCGUUGUCCGGAUUUAUUGGGCGUAAAGAGCGUGUAGGCGGCCAGGUAGGUCCGUUGUGAAAACUCGAGGCUCAACCUCGAGACGUCGGCGGAAACCAUCUGGCUAGAGUCCGGAAGAGGAGAGUGGAAUUCCUGGUGUAGCGGUGAAAUGCGCAGAUAUCAGGAAGAACACCCGUGGCGAAGGCGGCUCUCUGGGACGGUACUGACGCUGAGACGCGAAAGCGUGGGGAGCAAACAGG
rnacentral:rRNA from 1 species